rnacentral:rRNA from 1 species
UACGUAGGGGGCAAGCGUUGUCCGGAUUUAUUGGGCGUAAAGAGCGUGUAGGCGGCCAGACAGGUCCGUUGUGAAAACCCGAGGCUCAACCUCGAGACGUCGACGGAAACCGUCUGGCUAGAGUCCGGAAGAGGAGUGUGGAAUUCCUGGUGUAGCGGUGAAAUGCGCAGAUAUCAGGAAGAACACCUAUGGCGAAGGCAGCACUCUGGGACGGUACUGACGCUGAGACGCGAAAGCGUGGGGAGCGAACAGG